rnacentral:rRNA from 1 species
CCUACGGGAGGCAGCAGUGGGGAAGAUUGGACAAUGGGGGCAACCCUGAUCCAGCCAUGCCGCGUGUGUGAAGAAGGCCCUCGGGUUGUAAAGCACUUUCAGUGAGGAAGAACGCCUGGUGGUUAAUACCCAUCAGGAAAGACAUCACUCACAGAAGAAGCACCGGCUAACUCCGUGCCAGCAGCCGCGGUAAUACGGAGGGUGCGAGCGUUAAUCGGAAUUACUGGGCGUAAAGCGCGCGUAGGUGGCUUGAUAAGCCGGUUGUGAAAGCCCCGGGCUCAACCUGGGAACGGCAUCCGGAACUGUCAAGCUAGAGUGCAGGAGAGGAAGGUAGAAUUCCCGGUGUAGCGGUGAAAUGCGUAGAGAUCGGGAGGAAUACCAGUGGCGAAGGCGGCCUUCUGGACUGACACUGACACUGAGGUGCGAAAGCGUGGGUAGCAAACAGGAUUAGAUACCCUUGUAGUC